rnacentral:rRNA from 1 species
UACGAGGGGUCUAAGCGUUGUUCGGAAUCACUGGGCGUAAAGCGGGUGUAGGUGGCUAUGCAAGUUGGAUGUGAAAGCCCCGGGCUCAACCCGGGAAGUGCAUCCACAACUACGUAGCUUGAGUGCGGGAGAGAAAGGCAGAAUUCCUGGUGUAGUGGUGAAAUACGUAGAUAUCAGGAGGAACUCCGGUGGCGAAGGCGGCCUUUUGGCCCAGCACUGACACUCAGACCCGAAAGCGUGGGGAGCAAACAGG